rnacentral:snoRNA from 1 species
UUGAUGAGAAGUGGUUCAGGGGAGCGGUGAACGACCUUCAGCGGCGCUGA